AGUGAACGCUGGCGGUAGGCCUAACACAUGCAAGGCGAACGGCAGCACAGUAAGAGCUUGCUCUUACGGGUGGCGAGUGGCGGACGGGUGAGGAAUACAUCGGAAUCUACUUUUUCGUGGGGGAUAACGUAGGGAAACUUACGCUAAUACCGCAUACGACCUACGGGUGAAAGCAGGGGAUCUUCGGACCUUGCGCGAUUGAAUGAGCCGAUGUCGGAUUAGCUAGUUGGCGGGGUAAAGGCCCACCAAGGCGACGAUCCGUAGCUGGUCUGAGAGGAUGAUCAGCCACACUGGAACUGAGACACGGUCCAGACUCCUACGGGAGGCAGCAGUGGGGAAUAUUGGACAAUGGGCGCAAGCCUGAUCCAGCCAUACCGCGUGGGUGAAGAAGGCCUUCGGGUUGUAAAGCCCUUUUGUUGGGAAAGAAAAGCAGCAGGUUAAUACCCCGCUGUUCUGACGGUACCCAAAGAAUAAGCACCGGCUAACUUCGUG
rnacentral:rRNA from 1 species